GUGGUUUUGUCUCCUAACUGCCAGGUGAUGGUAGCUGCAUGAUGCUGUGGCUUCAAGAUUAUUUGUGUAAGAAUUACCUGUACAGGAAGAGAGUUUUUCCCAAGCUCAAGUGUACCAGCAACUCAGCACCAUGAAUGUAACAGCUCUCCUUUCAUGGGUAUGACCAGCACUCAAAUGUGAAGCUCGGUGCUCUGACCAGCACUCCUCAGUGACGCAGCAAGGAGCACUGGCACACAGGGACCCCUAUGAUGCUGCUCCUCCCACUAGAGUCCUUAGCACUGCGUGACCCAGAGCUGGAAGGAGGAGCAACAAAAGCAUGAAGUUGAGCUGAAAUUCAUCAACUGUCUGAACACUGAGAGCACAUGAAUACUCAGGCAAGCUCACUGCCCUCAGUGAGGAGGAGAAACAGGGCAUGCUUUUAGGUCAAGCAUAGUCUUGACAGACCCUUAGUCAUACAGAAGCACCUGGAAGAAAAAGCAACAGUAAUGGGCAACUUCCUGCUGCAGUGGAUGAAAGUACCCAUAUGCCAACCCAAACUUCUGUCUAGAGGAGCUUACUGCUGUCAACUUAAGAACGGAAGAGUAGAUGCUAUGGGAGAUUAUGCAGUGUGUGCCUGCUGUGGGUCCCUGACCAUGGAGAGUAAGUGGAUGAGGCCUUCUAUGGAUAGCUAGAAUCAGCUUCUCAGACACUGGUCUGGUGCAUAUGGUACUUGACCACCUUGAUAAGGAGCUGGAGGGCAACAGAACAAGACAAAAGCAAUACACAAGGUUCCUGGAGGGAAUCAAUGACAACUUCCUGACAAAAGAGAUAGAGAUGACAGUGAGAUGCUUUACUGAAUUUCAUUCUCACAAGCAAGAUGAUGCUCACUAGGUACCAGAAAAAACAAAGAUACCCUUGGCUGCGGUGAUGAUAAGAUGACACAGUUCAGGACCCUGGGAAGAGGGUGAAAAACAAGAUCACAGACCUGCACUUCAGGAGAACAGACUUUGAACUCUUCAAAGAUCUACCCGGCAGAGCCUAAUAGGAUAAAGCCCACAAGACCACUGGCCAGCUUGUGACAUAAAACAGAAUAAGAAAUGAAGUCUCUUCAUACAAUUUCCUUUUAUUUUGCAAAAAUUUAUUACUCACUGUUGUACAAAAUAGUAAAACAAGGUCACUGGCUUGCACAACUAGGUAGUUUGGAUGUGAACUAAUUGAAUAAAACAAAUUUUCACAAUUUUUAAUGCAAUUCAAGACAAUAACAACCAGUGGAUUAUACAUUUUAAAAUAUUUCAUUUGUGUGUUUUAAAAGUAUUAUUUGGUAAUCAGUAUUUGUAAACUUUAAUGUGAUAUACUAAGUCUCCAGUCACACGAUUAAAAGAUACACUGAAAACAUUUUACAGCUAACAUUUUAAAGCAUCUCAGUUACCUUUCUACUCUUUGCUUUACAGAAACAGUACGUUCAGUUUACUUAAUUCAUUUGGAAUAACCUAUUACAUUUGUUGAAAUGUAAAAGAAAGAAAAAUAGAAAUAUAUCUUUAAUGUAAAUUAGAGUAGAAAACGUUGUUUUACUUUCAAUAAGUUAUUAAAGUUAGCAACCACGGAAGUCAAUUCAAGUUCAAAUAAAUUUGGUCCAUUCCUUUCAAGUAAUACUAAUAGUAUAUUUUGUGAGGAAAGAAAUUAUUUCUAGAGGUUUCUCUAUCCCACCCCAAAAGUAAUUUUCAAAGAGUUAUUUCGUCCUAGGUCAUCCUGAAUUAUAGGAUGCAUAUAUAAUGAAAAAAAUAAUAAUAAUAAUAAAAGGGGAGGAAGGGAAGGAUAUUAACAUCACCUUAAGUGUAUAGCCAAUAAAUGAAGAUACAAGACAGAAAGUGAGAACAUCAUUCAGAGAUAGAUCUUUACAGGGAAUAAAUCAACAUAGCUCCACUGUCAUCAGCAGUGCCAUCCUGACUUACACCAGCCACAGAUCUGCCUAACCAUGGAUAACGUAUAGCAAAACUCAUUUAUAUUACUGAUAAGGAAGAGUAGUGUUGCAUGAGUAUGUUAACUUUUUUCUUAAUUAAGUUCUGGACAUCAUGAUUCUCAUCUAAAAUUUUGCCGUUGGUGACUGUCACUCUUACCACUCACUGGCAGCGGUUGUAGUUCAUAUCCAAUUUGAAAUAACCCUAAAAUAUAUUUAACAACAGCUAGUUCUUACCAGAAAUUGCCUGAGGCCCAUUUACAGAAUGAGACAGGAUUUAGAAGUAUUAUUUUAGAACUUUAUUAACUUAUAUUAUGGGUUUUCACUGACCAUAAUCUGUGGAACAAACAGCAAUCACUGGAAAUCAGCAGCAACUGUGCACUGACAUUCACAGGAACGUGACUCUUCGUUGGUACAAAGUAACUGCUUAUCUAGAUAAUAAACUAUAGUAAAUUUUUAAAAGUAUCUGAGACAUAUGUUUAUGGAGCAAAUGCUAAAA